AGGUUUUGCCUUUCCCUUCUCUUUUUCUUUCGGCUUCGUUCCUUCGCAGCAGUGUAGAGUUUUUCACGAGUUCUUCGUCGCUGUUCGACUUCGCUCCUUCGACGACGUUACCUUCCUGUUGGAGCGGAAGUUACGACAUUUUUUGUUCGGAAGCAACAAAGGGAGGUCGCUUUCUGUGAAGGUAAUUUUCUCACUUUCGCCCGCUUCUUCGGCCAAAUCCCGUGAAUCCGCCGAACCAAAGGAUUUCGUAAAUCCAGGAUUUACCACGAAAAGAGGGAAUUUUCCGUCAACCGGGGGCCGGGGCUUUGAUUUACCGUGAGAUUUGUUUUUGCAUUUUUGACCGUUUGGCUGGAUUUAACUCAAAUCCGGCCUAAAUCCUGCAUCCAAACAGCCCCUUAAAGUUGAUUUUUGCCAUUUCACAGUAUUUAGGUCGCCCUUAGCUAAAACCCUAACGACUAAAGCCACCCGCAACCUAGGGGCUCACAACAGCUUUCCGUGGAAGAUGGGCAAGAAGAAGAAGUCAUUCAUAGAUAAGAAGAAUUCCGCAACUUUCAAGCUUCUCGCUUGCGAUACUUCUACCUUCCCGGAAUCUGCCGCGGCUGCUGUUCCCCCGGUAACCGCCCGCGUAUUCGUCAGGGUUGAUAACAAUUCUGUUAACGUACGAGGCAUCUUCGAGGACGACAAUGGCAGAGACGAUCGUGCUGCCCCCGAGCCAGCAGGCCUGAAAGGAGAAGAUGACGUCGAUUCCAUAUUUGCCGAUGCGCCUGGCGACACCGAUGAUGAAGGGAGCUUCUCGCAGCCAUGGCCGAGUCAUGUUGCCCGCGGCUCGAGUGAUCGGACUUCCCAUUUUCUUCCGGAUGAAUUUAGAAAGGAAAUCCUGGAGCUUGGGUUGCCCGACGACGGCUAUAACUAUCUUCAGCAUCUUCGGGAGAUCAGCAACGCUGGCGCUGGCUCUGCUUACUAUCAGAACAGCAAGGCAAGAUUAGAUCUUGUGCCGCUUGAUGUUAAGGCCUUUGAUGCCAAGAGGCUAACAAUUAGUGGAGCUGAAUCAAAAAAGAAUUCAAUCUAUGCUGUUGCAUCUAAGGCGGUUGGUAUUAAGGUUCAGAAGGUUGUUGAUCCUGAUGUGUCGAGGUUGCUCGAGGAUAGCGAUCUGUCAAGGUUUGGGUCUGAUACCGAGGAAUUUGAGGAUGAUUUCGUGUUCAAGGCCAAUCUUCCUGAGGGAAAUGAGGGGGAAAGUGAAGAAGUUGAAGAAACUGAACCAGGAGCUGGUGAAGCUGAAAGGCAAAUGUGCUUGAUCAAAACUGAGCAGGAGGGUGAGUCUUUUGAUGAGGAUAGUGAAGAUGAGUUGGAUGAUGGUGACAAGCCUAGAAUUCACAGGCUUCUGGACGAACAGUUUGAUUUGCUCGCACUACAAGAGUAUGGUGAAACAUAUAGUGAUGAUGAUGGUUAUCUAGGAGAGGAAGGUGAGACAAUUGUUGCAAAGCUUCAUGAUGCUCUAAAGGAGUGCAAGGUGGAUGAUUUAGAAUUUGAAGAGCACUAUAGAGUUCCUGGGGAUUAUGUACAUAAACAAGAUGCACACGUGGGGAUCCCGUUGGAUGAUUCUACGGAUGUAAUUAGCAAGUGUAGAGAGUAUGCUGAUAAGUAUUGUGAUGAUGAUGAGGAUGAAGAACAGUUUAUCAUGGUUGAGGAAAGUAGUGAUGAAUUAGAAAUUUGGGACUGUGAGACUAUUGUGUCUACUUAUUCAAACCUUGACAACCAUCCUGGAACAAUAAAAACUCCAGAGAUUCUGAAAAGAAAAUUUGCAAAAAGCUUUCCAGUUGAUUCAAUUCGAAAGACUGAUAUGAUUGAACUUAGAGGAAAAGAGAAGCUUCCAGUGGAGUUUUUACCACAUGCCAAAAAGGAUCUUGAGAAGGUGAAGAAACCAGCUGGUUUUGAGAAGCAAAAGAUUAAACCACGUAGAGAGGAAUCAAAAGAUGAGAAAAAAGAACGCAAGGUAGCUGUGAAAGAGGAAAGGAGAGAAGCUAGACGUGCGAAGAAAGAACUUAAGGGUCUGUACCGAUGCGAAACCCAGAAGGCUCAGAAGGUUGCUGCCGUUUCAAUGCCAUCUGCUAUCCACCUUAUGUAACAUCCAUUUCGGCUUUUCCAUUCUAUGAGAAAUUGUCUCCAAGUUUUGGAUGAUGCAGAAGUUUUGCCAAAUAGUGGUUUGGCUCCCUUUUCAAUAUUUAUUUCUAUCAGCUCCUUUCAUUCUGUAUGGUUACUGUGAUCAAAGUCAAUUUUUUUUUAGAGAGAAAUGGAUAGUCCAUACAUUAGAUAAUUCUUAUUGUUGUUUAGAAUCUGUUUGGGAUAGCUGCAACUUUUUGUAUAUAUGAUUGUAAAAUUAUUGUGGACAAA